rnacentral:rRNA from 1 species
AGCGAACGCUGGCGGCAGGCCUAACACAUGCAAGUCGAGCGGAUGAAGAGAGCUUGCUCUCUGAUUCAGCGGCGGACGGGUGAGUAAUGCCUAGGAAUCUGCCUGGUAGUGGGGGACAACGUUUCGAAAGGAACGCUAAUACCGCAUACGUCCUACGGGAGAAAGUGGGGGAGCUUCGGACCUCACGCUAUCAGAUGAGCCUAGGUACGAUUAGCUAGUUGGUGAGGUAAAGGCUCACCAAGGCGACGAUCGUUAACUGGUCUGAGAGGAUGAUCAGUCACACUGGAACUGAGACACGGUCCAGACUCCUACGGGAGGCAGCAGUGGGGAAUAUUGGACAAUGGGCGAAAGCCUGAUCCAGCCAUGCCGCGUGUGUGAAGAAGGUCUUCGGAUUGUAAAGCACUUUAAGUUGGGAGGAAGGGCAGUAAGUUAAUACCUUGCUGUUUUGACGUUACCGACAGAAUAAGCACCGGCUAACUUCGUGCCAGCCGCCGCGGUAACAC